UCUCCGUUGGUGAACCAGCGGAGGGAUCAUUACCGAGCUUACAACUCCCAAACCCCAUGUGAACCUUACCAAACGUUGCUUCGGCGGGAUGCCCCGGGCGCGGGCCGCAAGGACUCAGCCCCGGAACCAGGCGCCCGCCGGAGGCCCAAACCAAACUCUUGUUUUUGUAGAAUCUUCUGAGUGGCCUUUUAGGCAAAAAAUGAAUCAAAACUUUCAACAACGGAUCUCUUGGUUCUG
rnacentral:misc_RNA from 1 species